UCUAUAGCUUAGUUGGUAGAGCGUGAGACUCUUAAUUUGAGGGUCGUGGGUUUGAGCCUCAAGUUGAGCAGAA